AUCUAACUGACGAGUCCAAAAUAGGACGAAACGCAUGUUUUGGAU
rfam:Schistosoma haematobium scaffold66_44, whole genome shotgun sequence.